rnacentral:rRNA from 1 species
UGAUUCAUUUGCGCAGUAUAAGUGGGAGACGUUGAUUGAUUGCUUGUGGGUGCUCGGAGUCUCAGGGAGAUCCACUCUUGCAUGUUAGAUUUCUAACUUUGUAUCGUAUCCGGUCAAAGAAACAUUUCAGGCGGGCAGUUUGACUGGGGCGGUCGCCUCCUAAACGGUAACGGAGGCGCACAAAGGUUUCCUCUGAACGUGUAGAAAUCGUAUCUAGAGUGUAAAGGCAUAAGGAAGCUUGACUGUGAGACCUACAAGUCGAGCAGGGACGAAAGUCGGUCUUAGUGAUCUGACGGUGCUGAGUGGAAAGGCCGUCACUCAACGGAUAAAAGUUACUCUAGGGAAACCAGGCUGAA